UACGUAGGCAGCAAGCGUUGCUCGGAAUCACUGGGCGUAAAGGGUGCGUAGGCGGGUCUUUAAGUCAGGGGUGAAAUCCUGGAGCUCAACUCCAGAACUGCCUUUGAUACUGAAGAUCUUGAGUUCGGGAGAGGUGAGUGGAACUGCGAGUGUAGAGGUGAAAUUCGUAGAUAUUCGCAAGAACACCAGUGGCGAAGGCGGACUCACUGGCCCGGUACUGACGCUGAGGUGCGAAAGCGUGGGGAGCAAACAGG
rnacentral:rRNA from 1 species